AUUGCACGCUGGCGGCAGGCCUAACACAUGCAAGUCGAGCGAGCGGCGGACGGGUGAGUAAUGUCUGGGAAACUGCCUGAUGGAGGGGGAUAAAUACUGGAAACGGUAGCUAAUACCGCAUAACAUCAGAUGUGCCCAGAUGGGAAUAGCUAGUAGGUGGGGGAACGGCUCACCUAGGCGACGAUCCCUAGCUGGUCUGAGCGGAUGACCAGCCACACUGGAACUGGGACACGGUCCAGACUCCUACGGGAGGCAGCAGUGGAGAAUAUUGCACAAUGGGCGUAAGCCUGAUGGAGCCAGGCCGCGUGUGUGAAGAAGGCCUUCGGGUUGUAAAGCACGUUCAGCGGGGAGGCGUUACCCGCAGAAGAAGCACCGGCUAACUCCGUGCCAGCAGCCGCGGUAAUUC
rnacentral:rRNA from 1 species